CCUCCAAUGGCUGGUGUCCUUGCUGAUCACAUGUGCAGCACCACGGCGACUGCAAAGACUAAGGUGGUACCAUACGCGGCUGUGUGAUAGAAACAGGAACAUCGAGUUCUGCUUUCCUGGAGAGGACAAUGCCAAACAGAAAAUGUGCCCACGGGGGUAAAGGAAUAUCCCUUAAAGCUGCUAAGAAAGCCAUGCAGAUUACAAUUCAUGGCAAGAAAAGGCUGGAUCUAUCUAAGAGGGGGAUUUCCGUCUUUCCUCAAUGCUUGUUGAAGCUUUUGGAUGUGGUAGAGCUGGAUCUCAGUGGGAAUUUUAUAAAGAAUGUGCCUAAGUGGAUACAGAAAUUUCAAGAUCUUCGCGUGUUGGACCUGCAUAGCAAUCAGAUUGAGAAACUCCCAGAAUCUAUAGGGCAGCUUCGAAAUCUACAUGUCCUCAAUGUUAGCGACAACAAACUCACAGAAAAUGGUAUCCAGCUGAACCAGCUAAUGAAAAUUUGUCAACGUAACCAUAUAAGAUUACGCUAUUGAUGUUCCACCAACUGCAAUAUGUGCCCCUAAAGAUCUUGAAGAGGUGGGCCUUUUUCACAACAAGCUUAUUAAAGUGCCCCUGCCAAAAAGUCAAAACAAAUGAUUAAUAAAUAUCAAAUUGGCACUGUAUAACAGAAUA